AGCGAACGCUGGCGGCAGGCCUAACACAUGCAAGUCGAACGAAGUCUUCGGACUUAGUGGCGGACGGGUGAGUAACACGUGGGAACGUACCUUUUGGUUCGGAACAACCCAGGGAAACUUGAGCUAAUACCGGAUGAGCCCUUAGGGGGAAAGAUUUAUCGCCGAAAGAGCGGCCCGCGUAAGAUUAGCUAGUUGGUGAGGUAAAGGCUCACCAAGGCUACGAUCUAUAGCUGGUCUGAGAGGAUGAUCAGCCAGAAUGGAACUGCGACACGGUCCAUACUCCUACGGGAGGCAGCAGUGAGGAAUCUUCCGCAAUGGGCGAAAGCCUGACGGAGCGACACCGCGUGGAGGAUGAAACCCUUUUGGGCGUAAACUCCUGUUCUGAGGGACGAAAUUUUUGACGGUACCUCAGGAGAAAGCACCGGCUAAUUCUGUGCCAGCCGCCGCUGUAACAC
rnacentral:rRNA from 1 species